GACGAACGCUGGCGGCGUGCUUAACACAUGCAAGUCGAACGGAAAGGCCCUGCCUUUGUGGGGUGCUCGAGUGGCGAACGGGUGAGUAACCCGUGAGUAACCUGCCCUUGACUUUGGGAUAACUUCAGGAAACUGGGGCUAAUACCGGAUAGGAGCUCCUGCUGCAUGGUGGGGGUUGGAAAGUUCCGGCGGAUGGGGAUGGACUCGCGGCUUAUCAGCUUGUUGGUGGGGUAGUGGCUUACCAAGGCUUUGACGGGUAGCCGGCCUGAGAGGGUGACCGGGCACAUUGGGACUGAGAGACGGCGCAGACUCCUACGGGAGGCAGCAGUGGAGAAUAUUGCACAAUGGGCGGAAGCCUGAGGCAGCAACGCCGCGUGCGGGAUGUCGGCUUUCGGGUUGUAAACCGCUUUCGCCUGUGACGAAGCGUGAGUGACGGUAAUGGGUAAAGAAGCACCGGCUAACUACGUG
rnacentral:rRNA from 1 species